GGACAACAGUCAGAGCCUGUGCUUGUUCAUUACAGCCUGAAGUGAUUGAUACCCCUCGCACACGGUCAGCGCGGCUGGCCCAGCCGGGCCCAGCACGCUGAAUGGUGAAAUCAUCACCCAAUGCUUCCCCCAAAUAUGUGAGACUAAAUAAUAAAUUCAGCAUAAGAACACUGGCUCCUAAGGGUGAUUCUUUCAAGUAUUCAAAUACUGCGUAUCCAGCUAGGAAGCAGAGCCAGCUGACGCCAUCAGUUGUUAUCCUGCUGCACAGAAGUUCUUCUGUGAUCAGCCUAGCUCAUACCUUUGAAACAGGCAGGGAGAGUAAGGUUGCCAUCCACACAUGGGACUGGUACAGUAUAGGCACAGGAUUUUUCUUUAUUCUUGCAGAAGAAGGAUACAGUUUCACCAUGCUGAAUACCAUCCUUAAGGU